UUUACAAUGCGAGAAAUCGUGAUAAGGGAACCCCGAGUGCCCGUAAAUUCGGGCUGUCCGCCAGUGUAAAUAACUGGUGAAGAAAGGGCCGGGCAAGACCGGUGCCAGCCGCCGCGGUAAUACCGGCGGCUCGAGUGGUGGCCACUAUUACUGGGCUUAAAGCGUCCGUAGCUGGAUUGUUAAGUCUCUUGGGAAAUCCACCGGCUCAACCGAUGGGCGUUCAGGAGAAACUGGCAAUCUAGGGACCGGGAGAGGUGAGAGGUACUCCAGGGGUAGGAGUGAAAUCCUGUAAUCCUUGGGGGACCACCUGUGGCGAAGGCGUCUCACUAGAACGGCUCCGACAGUGAGGGACGAAAGCUGGGGGAGCAAACCGGAUUAGAUACCCGGGUAGUCCCAGCUGUAAACGAUGCGCGUUAGGUGUAUCGGUGACCACGAGUCAUCGAGGUGCCGAAGGGAAACCGUGAAACGUG
rnacentral:rRNA from 1 species